rnacentral:rRNA from 1 species
UGUGGCCGUUAAAGUCGUAACAAGGUAUCCUACCCUCGGGAGGGGGAUAACCCCGGGAAACUGGGACUAAUCCCCCAUAGGCCUGAGGUACUGGAAGGUCCUCAGGCCGAAAGGGACUCUGUCCGCCCGAGGAUGGGCCGGCGGCCGAUUAGGUAGUUGGUGGGGUAACGGCCCACCAAGCCGAAGAUCGGUACGGGCCAUGAGAGUGGGAGCCCGGAGAUGGACACUGAGACACGGGUCCAGGCCCUACGGGGCGCAGCAGGCGCGAAACCUCCGCAAUGCGGGCAACCGCGACGGGGGGACCCCCAGUGCCGCGGCAUUCGCCACGGCUUUUUCCGGAGUGUAAAGAGCUCCGGGAAUAAGGGCUGGGCAAGGCCGGUGGCAGCCGCCGCGGUAAUACCGGCGGCCCGAGUGGUGGCCGCUAUUAUUGGGCCUAAAGCGUCCGUAGCCGGGCCCGUAAGUCCCUGGCGAAAUCCCACGGCUCAACCGUGGGGCUUGCUGGGGAUACUGCGGACCUUGGGACCGGGAGAGGCGGAGGGUACCCCUGGGGUAGGGGUGAAAUCCUGUAAUCCCAGGGGGACCGCCAGUGGCGAAGGCGCUCCGCUGGAACGGGUCCGACGGUGAGGGACGAAGGCCAGGGGAGCAAACCGGAUUAGAUACCCGGGUAGUCCUGGCUGUAAAGGAUGCGGGCUAGGUGUCGGGUGAGCUUCGUGCUCGCCCGGUGCCGAAGGGAAGCCGUUAAGCCCGCCGCCUGGGGAGUACGGCCGCAAGGCUGAAACUUAAAGGAAUUGGCGGGGGAGCACUACAAGGGGUGGAGCGUGCGGUUUAAUUGGAUUCAACGCCGGAAAGCCG